ACCUAAAGAGUAAAUAGCAUGU
rnacentral:miRNA from 1 species